UGUCCAUUUCGUGCGUCUACCAGGGGAUGCUUCCUGUAUUUAGUGCUUAGUCAGAGCUUUCUAAGCACCUGCUGGUCUCAGGCACAGAGCUGGCGAUGCAGAGAUGUGACCGGAAGCCUGUGUUUGCUGCCCAGCUCGCUGGAAACCCAGGACACUAUUGGAGCCAGAUUGUGACAGAGCAAGACAGUAGCGCCGUGGGGGAAAAUGUGACACCCUGGGAGGGUGACCCACAUGGGAAGGGUCUCGGUUUGCAUCUGGAGACCUCCCUGAAUGCACGAAGUAUGUGCCUGUGGUCCUGGCUGACUGAAGUUGAAUAGGCUAUUGACCUGCUGAUGCUUCAAGCUGCCUAUUGGGUGUGGAGGUGGCACUUCCACAGCUUUGGCCUGGCUGACUGUCCAGACUGUGGGAAUAGCUCAAGGGGCUGUCUUGUGAAGCAAUGCGCCUAAGACAUUCAACACAGCGCUGGGUAUGGGGUAACUGCUUAAUCAACAUGACUGAAGAAGAAGACGGUGAUGGCGGUGCCAUAUGAGGACAUCGUGAGAAGGUAGCAUCUACAAGUCAGGAAACGUGCUCUCACCAGGAACCAAGUCAACUGGCACCUUGAUCAUGGACUUCCCAGCAUCCAGAACUGUGAUGAAAAUAUGUCUGCUAUUUAACCUACCCCAGUGUGUGAUGCUUUGUUAUGGCAGGCUAA